rnacentral:rRNA from 1 species
AACGCGAAGAACCUUACCCAGGCUUGACAUGCAGUAGACAGCGCCAGAGAUGGCGCCUUCCUUCGGGACUGCUGCACAGGUGCUGCAUGGCUGUCGUCAGCUCGUGCCGUGAGGUGUUGGGUUAAGUCCCGCAACGAGCGCAACCCUUAUCGUUAGUUGCCAACAUAUUAGGUGGGAACUCUAUCGAGACUGCCUGGGUUAACCAGGAGGAAGGUGAGGAUGACGUCAAGUCCGCAUGGCCCUUAUGUCUGGGGCUACACACGUGCUACAAUGGUCGGUACAGAAGGCAGCAAGACCGCGAGGUGGAGCAAAUCCCGAAAGCCGACCCCAGUUCAGAUUGUAGUCUGCAACUCGACUACAUGAAGAUGGAAUUGCUAGUAAUGGCGAAUCAGCUACAUCGCCGUGAAUACGUUCCCGGGCCUUGUA